rnacentral:lncRNA from 1 species
GAAUUCCCAAUUCAACCUCGUGUUUCCCGGAAAAUCAUAUAUUACUGACAAUAAAUAAGUAAUAAACAUUUUCAAUCUUAUCGGAAGGCUAAUAACAACAACACAUGAUACCCAAAAUUACAAAUUAUCAUUUCUUCAUAUUAACAUUCAAAGUUGCAAUUAACAAUAAAGAGAAUCAAAACCCUAAUAAUAUUCAAAAUCCCCAUUCUGAAACAUGAAAUCAUUGGUCCAUAAAGCCCUAAGAAAUAACUCAAAUCGAAUUCAAACCCUCAUUUGAAGGGGAAAAAAAAAUAAAAAGCAAAUAUCAAUCCAAACAAACUCGAAAUUCCCAUUGGAAACCUUAAACCCUAAUUUCUAGUCAGUUGUAUGGAAAAGGCUGAAUGAGGGAAAGAGAUCAUAAAAUUAAACCAACAUCAAACACAGAGAUGAUGUGAGGUUAAGAGAAAAGAGUUCAAUUCAUACCUGACUUGAAGACAUGGAUCCGUCAUCCAUGGGAACUUGAUUUGAAGAACGCACUUCAUCAAUGGGAACUCGAGUGCCUGAAAUUGGUAGGUUUUCAGAGGCACUCGAAGGUGGUCGGAGUGAUAGUGGUGGCCGUUGAAAGGGUUUGACGACUUUGAGAAGCCAUAGCCACUGACGAAGAGGAAGUUAGAGAUGAAGCUUCGGUGAACAAGAGCCGACAAAAUUUUCCUCCUCUUUUCCCUGCUCUUUUUCUCUUAUAUUUUCCACGUUAUUUUUUAAGGAAAAUAGUGAGGAAAAUAUUACAAUAUUUUCUUUAAUAUUUUCCUUCAUAUUUUUUUUCCAUUGUAUUUUCUAUGUCAUCCAAACUAAAAAAAAUCAUUUUCCUUUAUAU